rnacentral:rRNA from 1 species
UACGUAGGUGGCAAGCGUUGUCCGGAAUUAUUGGGCGUAAAGCGCGCGCAGGUGGUUUCUUAAGUCUGAUGUGAAAGCCCACGGCUCAACCGUGGAGGGUCAUUGGAAACUGGGGAACUUGAGUGCAGAAGAGGAAAGUGGAAUUCCAAGUGUAGCGGUGAAAUGCGUAGAGAUUUGGAGGAACACCAGUGGCGAAGGCGACUUUCUGGUCUGUAACUGACACUGAGGCGCGAAAGCGUGGGUAGCGAACAGG